rnacentral:rRNA from 1 species
GGAUUGCCCCAGUAACGGCGAGUGAAGCGGCAACAGCUCAAAUUUGAAAUCUGGUCCCCCCGCGGGGCCCGAGUUGUAAUUUGAAGAGGAUGCUUCUGGCAAGGUGCCGUCCGAGUUCCCUGGAACGGGACGCCGCAGAGGGUGAGAGCCCCGUACGGUCGGACGCCGAGCCUCUGUGAAGCUCCUUCGACGAGUCGAGUAGUUUGGGAAUGCUGCUCAAAAUGGGAGGUAAACCCCUUCUAAAGCUAAAUACCGGCCAGAGACCGAUAGCGCACAAGUAGAGUGAUCGAAAGAUGAAAAGCACUUUGAAAAGAGAGUUAAAAAGCACGUGAAAUUGUUGAAAGGGAAGCGCUUGCGACCAGACUCGCGCCCGUCGGAUCAGCCGUCGCUCGUCGGCGGCGCACUCCGGCGCGGCUCGGGCCAGCAUCAGUUCGCCUCGGGGGGAGAAAGGCGGCGGGAAUGUGGCUCUACGGAGUGUUAUAGCCCGCCGCGCAAUACCCCCGGGCGGACUGAGGACCGCGCGUAUGCAAGGAUGCUGGCGUAAUGGUCGUCAGCGACCCGUCUUGAAACACGGACCAAGGAGUCGUCCUAAUAUGCGAGUGUACGGGUGUCAAACCCCUGCGCGUAAUGAAAGUGAACGGAGGUGAGAGCUUCGGCGCAUCAUCGACCGAUCCUGAUGUUCUCGGAUGGAUUUGAGUAAGAGCAUAUUGGGCCGGACCCGAAAGAAGGUGAACUAUGCCUGUGUAGGGUAAAGCCAGAGGAAACUCUGGUGGAGGCUCGCAGCGGUUCUGACGUGCAAAUCGAUCGUCAAACAUGGGCAUGGGGGCGAAA